AGAGAGAGAGACUACAUUCACCUAACUUUUAUUAAAGUGUAUUGUUAUAAUUCUUCUAUUUUAUUAUUAGUUACUGUUGCUAA